GCCGCCGGUGUAUCUAUAAAAUAUUAUGCUGCUGGUGCAGUCGGCUUUCGUAUGUUAAAUAAAAAUUAUUAUGUCGGGCUCGAACACUGAUAAGCAUUAUUAUUAUUAUUAUUAUUAUUAUUAUCAUACAGGUUAUGUUUAGUUUCAAAGGUCAGCGGCGGCGAUUUGGUUGCGAGAAUAUAAAGAUGCCCCCGCACCACAGCGUGUCGUCCAAAAUGAGCUGAUCACGUGACUCUGGAUAGCUGGUCGAACCCGGUUU